GAUGAAGAACGCAGCGAAAUGCGAUACGUAAUGUGAAUUGCAAAUUCAGUGAAUCAUCGAGUCUUUGAACGCACAUUGUGCCCCCUGGUAUUCCGGGGGGCAUGCCUGUCCGAGCGUCAUUGCUGCCCUCAAGCACGGCUUGUGUGUUGGGCCCCGUCCUCCGAUCCCGGGGGACGGGCCCGAAAGGCAGCGGCGGCACCGCGUCCGGUCCUCGAGCGUAUGGGGCUUUGUCACCCGCUCCGUAGGCCCGGCCGGCGCUUGCCGAUCAACCCAAAUUUUUAUCCAGGUUGACCUCGGAUCAGGUAGGGAUACCCGCUGAACUUAAGCAUAUCAAUAAGCGGAGGA
rnacentral:misc_RNA from 1 species